UACGUAGGGUGCGAGCGUUAUUCGGAAUUACUGGGCGUAAAGCGUGCGCAGGCGGUUCGCCAAGUCAGGUGUGAAAUCCCCGGGCUUAACCUGGGAAUUGCGCUUGAAACUAGCGGGCUUGAGUGUGGCAGAGGGGGGUGGAAUUCCACGUGUAGCAGUGAAAUGCGUAGAGAUGUGGAGGAACACCGAUGGCGAAGGCAGCCCCCUGGGUCAACACUGACGCUCAUGCACGAAAGCGUGGGGAGCAAACAGG
rnacentral:rRNA from 1 species